AGAGAAUAACAGGCUGAUUGAGCUAUGGUUGAAACUUGCUCUUGGGUUUAUCUUGCUAGUUUAUGGCUGGUGAUCACAGUAUCAAGUAUCUGGUCACAGUCAACUUCAAAUCAGGUAGAAAGAUUCAAGAAGUCCAAUCGCCUUAUGAUGAUUAGUUUGAUCAUGAGGUUCUCUACCUGGGGAUGAACAACUUGCCCGUGAGAGAGAGAGGCCAGUAACCAUUGCAGAGCGGAUGAUCAAGCUGGUGGAGAAAAUCCACCACAAGCCCAAUGGCAUUGGCAUCAUUCUGCCAAGGAGUGAGAACAGUUUCAAAAUUGCCGGAAGUGAUGAAGAAAGAAUAGACUUCUGGAAUGGCAAAGCAACCUCGACGAAAGUCAUGUAUCGACAAUAUUGUGUAAAAGGCACCAAAAUAUAUCACAAAGGCCGCAAAGACAGUUCAUCGUGUGUGUUGUUUCUCAUUCUGCAAAGACAGUGAACAUGUAAUCCUAUAGUUUGACACCAUACACAACGUUUUACCAUUACCAUAGUAUAAUAUACCACUCUCAUUGUAUAAUUUUGUACAUUACGAAACAUGUGUUCUGUCAUGAAUAAUAAUGUGGUUAUGUAAAUUAACAAUUUAUUGUUACUUUCGCAAUUUUUCAUAUGUUUUGAAAAAAAAUUAAAAGGUAUUAUGUACUUCAUUGGAUAAUUAUUUUAUACUAGCUUAUGAAUAAUUAUUUUAUACUAGCUCAUGAAAAAAGAAUAAGCUAUUUUGCACUUUAUUUACAUUAUCAUUGAGCAAUGCACUGGCUGUAAUUGAUGGCUUGUCUAUCUUCUCGUGCACAUCAUCUACUGACUGAAUGAAAUAAUUAUUAAGUUUGUUUAGUUCAGGAGUAGAUAAGUUUACAACAUUCUUGUUGAAGGAUAAAGUUUUGAUAAUUUGCCAUGCUUUCUUACAUUUGUUAUUAGAGGAUUCAAUGAUUGAUGCAACAGAAUCCCUCUUGGCUUCAUCCAAUGAAUUUCUGUACAGUGCUCUGCAUCUAAGAUAAAGUGUUUUCGAAUGUUCGGUUUUUUGUUUUUUGAAGUUUUCAUGUAAGAGUGAGCAGAAUCUUAAUCUUACUAAGUUCAGGUGUUUCCAGUCAGCCUUACAUUUGAAAUUCUUUCUAUUAUUAACUUGGGAAACUUUUUUUCUACAGGUCUUUCUAGGGAUAGUUAGAUUGAAAUAAUAUAAAACUGUAUUGAGGAAGGAUUCGAAUAUAUCACUUGCAUCUGACUUUUCCAUGACAGCACUCCAAUUCACCAAAUUCAGAGACCGAUUAAAUUGUAGUAAUUUAUCUUAUAACAGGUCUUGAAGUAAUAGUGACAAAAUCGUUAGAACUAGACUCAACAGAACCACAGGGCACACAUAUCGUGACACAAUCAUGAUCAGAGUAGGAAAAUCCUAUAACACUUGAAUUUGUCAUAUCAGGUUGAACGUUUGAAAAAAUAUUAUCGAGACAGGCUUGGUCUCUAGUGGGCAGAGUAUUGAAAAUAUGAUGAUUAAAUUGUCUCAAUAGAUUUUUCAAAUUAUUGGAAUGACAGGUUUCCUGAUUGACAUCAAAGGCAGAAUUAAGAUCUCCACCAAGAACAAUAGUAUGGUCAUUAUAACAUCGUCUAGACAAAAAUAGAAGCAAUUCCUCCAAUUUGGCUAAAAAAUACUUUUGGGUCUCCACAAGGAGAUCUGUACAAUGAUACGAUAAUGAGUUUCCUGGCUCCAAUAAUAGUACAGGUGGCCUCAAACUCACGUUCAAUACAUAGAAAAUUCAGACUCAAUUCUUGACUUUGAGAGUAAAGAUUCUUACUGACAAAUAUUGCAACUCCGCCAUUUUUGUGUAAUAAUCUACAGUAACUACUUGAUGCAAUACAAACAUCCAUUUUACUAUAUACGAUUUCAUCAGUAAGCAACCAAUGUUCACUUAUACCUAUAAUAGCAAUAUCUUCAUUAAUUCUAUAUUUGGUUUUGAAUAAACAAGAUAUACUUACUAAUGUAAUCAUUGAUAAGGUGAGUUUCAUUUCUAAAUGAAUAUAAAUUAAGUUUAUUGAUGUUGUUAUAGAGAGCAUUUGCAAUAAAUUUUAGUUA